rnacentral:rRNA from 1 species
UACGGGGGGGGCAAGCGUUGUUCGGAAUUACUGGACGUAAAGGGCUCGUAGGUGGCCAACUAAGUCAGACGUGAAAUCCCUCAGCUUAACUGGGGAACUGCGUCUGAUACUGUAUGGCUUGAGUUUGGGAGAGGGAUGCGGAAUUCCAGGUGUAGCGGUGAAAUGCGUAGAUAUCGGAAGGAACAUCAGUGGCAAAGGCGACUGCCUGGACUGAUACUGACGCUGAGGCGCGAAAGCGUGGGGAGCAAACAGG